rnacentral:rRNA from 1 species
GAUGAACGCUAGCGGCAGGCUUAAUACAUGCAAGUCGUGGGGCAGCAGGUCUGUAGCAAUACAGAUGCUGGCGACCGGCAAACGGGUGCGGAACACGUACACAACUCUCCUUUAAGUGGGGAAUAGCCCAGAGAAAUUUGGAUUAAUACCCCGUAACAUAGUGAAAAGGCAUCUUUUUAUUAUUAUAGCAGCAAUGCGCUUAAUGAUGGGUGUGCGUCUGAUUAGGUAGUUGGCGGAGUAAUAGCCCACCAAGCCUACGAUCAGUAACUGGUGUGAGAGCACGACCAGUCACACGGGCACUGAGACACGGGCCCGACUCCUACGGGAGGCAGCAGUAAGGAAUAUUGGGCAAUGGACGCAAGUCUGACCCAGCCAUGCCGCGUGGAGGAUGAAGGUCCUCUGGAUUGUAAACUUCUUUUAUCUGGGAAGAAAUCCAUCUUUUCUUGGGUGGUUGACGGUACCAGAUGAAUAAGCACCGGCUAACUCCGUGCCAGCAGCCGCCGUAAUAC